UACAGGGGGGGCAAGCGUUGUUCGGAAUUACUGGGCGUAAAGGGCGUGUAGGUGGCCAACUAAGUCCGACGUGAAAUCCCCAGGCUUAACCUGGGAACUGCGUCGGAUACUGGAUGGCUCGAGUUUGGGAGAGGGAUGCGGAAUUCCAGGUGUAGCGGUGAAAUGCGUAGAUAUCGUAAGGAAGACCAGUGGCGAAGGCGGGUCUCUGGACAGUUCCUGACGCUGAGGCACGAAGGCCAGGGGAGCAAACGGG
rnacentral:rRNA from 1 species